rnacentral:rRNA from 1 species
GUGAGGAAUAUUGCGCAAUGGAGGCAACUCUGACGCAGCCAUGCCGCGUGCAGGAAGAAGGCGCUACGCGUUGUAAACUGCUUUUAACCGGGAAGAAACCCCAGGACGUGUCCUGGGUUGACGGUACCGGAGGAAUAAGCACCGGCUAACUUCGUGCCAGCAGCCGCGGUAAUACGAAAGGUGCAAGCGUUAUCCGGAUUCAUUGGGUUUAAAGGGUGCGUAGGCGGAGCGUUAAGUCAGUGGUGAAAUCCUGCAGCUUAACUGUAGACUUGCCAUUGAUACUGGCGCUCUUGAGUGCGCUUGAAGUGGGCGGAAUGUGCCGUGUAGCGGUGAAAUGCUUAGAUAUGGCACAGAACACCAAUUGCGAAGGCAGCUCACUAAGGCGAUACUGACGCUGAGGCACGAAAGCGUGGGGAUCGAACAGGAUUAGAAACCCUGGUAGUCC